rnacentral:rRNA from 1 species
ACAGCAGCCGCCGCGGUAAUACGUAGGUGGCGAGCGUUGUCCGGAAUUAUUGGGCGUAAAGGGCUCGCAGGCGGUUUCUUAAGUCUGAUGUGAAAGCCCCCGGCUCAACCGGGGAGGGUCAUUGGAAACUGGGAAACUUGAGUGCAGAAGAGGAGAGUGGAAUUCCACGUGUAGCGGUGAAAUGCGUAGAGAUGUGGAGGAACACCAGUGGCGAAGGCGACUCUCUGGUCUGUAACUGACGCUGAGGAGCGAAAGCGUGGGGAGCGAACAGGAUUAGAUACCCCUGUAGUCCCUGUCUCUUAUAC